GAAAAGCAGCAUCAUUGAAGGUGAAAAUCCUGUUAAUGAUAUGGACUACCAGUGCAUUUGCGAUACGGUUUCUAAGAGUCGAGUUGUUUGGGAAUGCAGCUCAAAGUGGGUGGUAAAUUCCAUCUAAGGCUAAAUAUAAGUGAGAGACCGAUAGCAAACAAGUACCGUGAGGGAAAGAUGAAAAGAACUUUGAAAAUAGAGUUAACAGUACGUGAAAUUGCUGAAAGGGAAACGUUUGAAGUUAGUAUUGUAUUUGUUGGAUCAGCUUCGCAAGAGGUGUAUUCUGAUGAUAAGCAAGUCAACAUCAAUCUAUGAGUGUUGGAUAAGGGUUUUGAGAAUGUAGCAAUUUAAUUGUGUUAUAGCUUGAGACUUGGAUACGAUGCUUUUGAUUGAGGAACGCGUAGUAAGCUUUGAGCGGAUUGGAAACAAUCUCCUUACUAUGGAUGUUGGUGAAAUAACUUUAAGCGACCCGUCUUGAAACACGGACCAAGGAGUCUAACAUGCUUGCGAGUAUUAGGGUGUUGAAACCCGAAUGCGUAAUGAAAGUGAAUUUCGGAUGUGAUCCGCAAGGUGCAACAUCGACCGGUCCUGAUUAUUUAUAUGACGGUACUGAGUAAGAGCAAGUAUGUUAGGACCCGAAAGAUGGUGAACUAUGCCUGGAUAGGGUGAAGUCAGAGGAAACUCUGAUGGAAGCUCGUAGCGGUUCUGACGUGCAAAUCGAUCGUAGAAUCUGGGUA
rnacentral:rRNA from 5 species